rnacentral:rRNA from 1 species
CAGCUCUUGACAUGGGAAGUAUGGGCCCUGGCGACGGGGUCCUUCAGUUCGGCUGGCUUCCACACAGGUGCUGCAUGGCUGUCGUCAGCUCGUGUCGUGAGAUGUUGGGUUAAGUCCCGCAACGAGCGCAACCCUCGUCUCCAGUUGCCAUCGGGUAAAGCCGGGCACUUUGGAGAAACUGCCGGUGACAAGCCGGAGGAAGGUGGGGAUGACGUCAAGUCCUCAUGGCCUUUAUGGGCUGGGCUACACACGUGCUACAAUGGCGGUGACAGAGGGCAGCGAAGGGGUGACCCGGAGCCAAUCUCUAAAAGCCGUCUCAGUUCGGAUUGCACUCUGCAACUCGGGUGCAUGAAGGUGGAAUCGCUAGUAAUCGCGGAUCAGCAUGCCGCGGUGAAUACGUUCCC